AGAUCUCUCUCUCUGCGGAAGCCAGCCACCGCUCUCCAAGGACUCUCGAGCAGCUCCAUCUACAGAUUCACAUGGAGAAGAAUUAAGGGUUCCUGCCAAUCACCAGCACCACUUUGCCAGCCUUGUAAGUGGGCCACCUUGGAAUUGGAGCCUCCAGUUCCUACUGACAUCUGACUGCAACAUCAUGAGAGACCCUGAGUUUGAACCACCCAGCUGAGCUGCUUCUGAGCUAACCCACUGAAACCGUGAAAGUACCUGAAUGAAACAACACCCAGUAGCCACUAGCACACCUAGCUCCCAGAUCUGUUUUUGAUGCCAUUCUUCAGUAAAAGGAAGCAAGGCUGCUUGGAGAAAUUGCUAUCAAGGACUGGGGUAGAAAAUAUACAAGAUGAAAUUGGAGCAUCUUGUAGUGCUUGAAAACAGUUGGCAUCUGUGUGAAGAUGUGAAUGGAGGAGGCAGAGUAGGCAGUGAGUGCCGCAGCCACAGCUUGUGUUCUCUGCAGCCCUGGCACAGAAGAUAGGAACACUCAUGGGGGAUGCGGCCACUGUGAUGUCUUCCCACACAAGAAGUGCCAAGUGCUUUUCUCAUGCUUUUCUGGAUUGUCCCAUGGUGGACGAGUCAGCAGGAGUGAGAUGGAGCAGCACAGUAGAGGGGCCAGGAUAUCGUUGUACAUAUUCUCAGCUAAGUGAGCACCAAUAGAGGAGAGGGAGAGUCUCAUGGAAGUUCCUUCUAAGCCUUUGGCUCUUUUUACCUUCAACAAGGUGUGCCACCUCUUUGAUCCAGCAAGUGGGAAGAACAGUCCCGGCCUCUUUGCACACAAGACCGUGAUACCAAUGCACCAUCACAGGCCCCACAGGGGAGCUGUCCGCUUCCCCACACAGCUGCUAGGGGCUCUUUUGCAUGUUCCCAACCUUUCCUGCCUUUAUCUGAUAUUCGUUCCUUAGAUCCUGGGAUGAGGAGGUGGACCAGCAGAAGGUGGGCUUGUGAAGGCAGCCCGGGGUCCAAAUCCUCCUGGCUCUUCAGCUUAGCGGGUUAGUUAACAUUCAGAAGCCUUCAUCUCCCAUCUGCAAAAUGGGCAUGUCCAACUCAGAAGCUGCCUUGAAGAAAGGGUCUACCCAGCAUGGUGCGUGGAGCCUAAGCAGUCAGUACUUCAGGACUUCACCCGGCCCCUUUCCAAUAACUGCUGCUGUCGCCCUCACAGGAUGUCACCUUCAGCGUCUGAAAGCUGGGUUUGAUGCGUCUGGAAAGGCGUCCCUGACAGGCGUCGUUGCCAGGAGCCCCUAGUGCCACCAGCAGCCAGCAGGGGAGGGCGUCCUCUGCCCGCUCACUUCUGACCCUUCUCUCGUUGCACCCGGAACAUGGUGCAGCUGGGAGCAGCCUGGGCUGCGCGGAAGGCUCAGAUUUGGGGACGGCCCUUGCCAGUGACUGUGAGCUGGGGUGUCUUGGAAACUCCCAGUCUCAGCUUCUCCAUUUAUAAGAUGAGAAUGAUCAUACCAGACUCAGGCAAGGUUGUUUGUGCAUUAGUGAAAUCAGACGUAUUAAAUAAAGUACCACAUUGAUCGUGGAGUUGUUGAAUAACCAAGAACACGCCUAUCUGUCUCCAAAAAAUAAAUGUUG
rnacentral:lncRNA from 1 species